rfam:Gossypium arboreum cultivar AKA8401 contig_26374_3, whole genome shotgun sequence.
AAUUCAUGGUGAGGAUACCUUUGCAGUAGGUCAUUGUAUCUCUCCCAUGCAUCAUGAAGAGCUUCUAAGUCCAUCUGCACAAACGAAGAGAUACCAUUACGUAAUU